rnacentral:pre_miRNA from 1 species
UCUUAUGGAUGAGAAAAGAAAGUGGUUUCUUGAGAUGGAAUCUACUUCCUUGAGAUGGAAUAUACUUUUGGUGAAGAUGCUGUGAA